UAGUAUUUGGUCGUAGACCCGAAACCAGGUGAUCUACCCAUGGUCAGGUUGAAGUUCAGGUAACACUGAAUGGAGGACCGAACCGACUUACGUUGAAAAGUGAGCGGAUGAACUGUGGGUAGCGGAGAAAUUCCAAUCGAACUUGGAGAUAGCUGGUUCUCUCCGAAAUAGCUUUAGGGCUAGCCUCAAGUGAUGAUUAUUGGAGGUAGAGCACUGUUUGGACGAGGGGCCCCUCUCGGGUUACCGAAUUCAGACAAACUCCGAAUGCCAAUUAAUUUAACUUGGGAGUCAGAACAUGGGUGAUAAGGUCCGUGUUCGAAAGGGAAACAGCCCAGACCACCAGCUAAGGUCCCAAAAUAUAUGUUAAGUGGAAAAGGAUGUGGCGUUGCCCAGACAACUAGGAUGUUGGCUUAGAAGCAGCCAUCAUUUAAAGAGUGCGUAAUAGCUCACUAGUCGAGUGACACUGCGCCGAAAAUGUACCGGGGCUAAACAUAUUACCGAAGCUGUGGAUUGUCCUUUGGACAAUGGUAGGAGAGCGUUCUAAGGGCGUUGAAGCAUGAUCGCAAGGACAUGUGGAGCGCUUAGAAGUGAGAAUGCCGGUGUGAGUAGCGAAAGACGGGUGAGAAUCCCGUCCACCGAUUGACUAAGGUUUCCAGAGGAAGGCUCGUCCGCUCUGGGUUAGUCGGGUCCUAAGCUGAGGCCGACAGGCGUAGGCGAUGGAUAACAGGUUGAUAUUCCUGUACCACCUAUAAUCGUUUUAAUCGAUG
rnacentral:rRNA from 1 species